UUGUAUUAUUUAUGGCCACUAUAUUUUUGUUGCAAUAAUCUUUUAGUAUAAAAAUACACGUUUUAGGAGAGGUUGUUAUACCAAAAAGUGCAGAUAUUUUUAUACCAAUUAUAAAAAUACAUCGAGACGGAAAUUAUUGGCCAAAUCCAUUUGUGUUUGAUCCUGAUAGAUUUCUCCCAGAAAGAAUAAAGGAUUGUCACGCAUUUUCUUUUUUCCCGUUUAGUGAUGGACCAAGAAACUGUAUAGGUAUGAAAUACGGAAUGAUGUGUACGAAAGUCAUAAUAGCAACACUGAUACGAACAUUCAUAUUUAAAGUUAAUAAAAGUGUUGAAUUAGAUAAAAUAAAAUUGACAUGGGACACAACAUUAUCUAGUACUGAGUCUUUUAAAGUCAAAAUUGAAAAACGAUACAUCUCAUAAAGUAGUAUAGAAAAUUAUAUAGCAAAGUAUAUGAAAUAUUUGAAAUAACAUUUUUGAUAUAAUAUAUAAUAUUUUGCAUAUAUAUAUUACAUUAGUAGUCAGUUUUGACUUACUUCUUCUUUAGUUUAUGACAUUGUAACAUAUGGACAAUAAAACAUAAAAUAUUGAAAUUAA